rnacentral:lncRNA from 1 species
GAAAAGUAAAGGAGAAAGAAAUGUCCCACAAAAAGAGAAUUAUAAAAUAAUUUAUGAAACAACCACACAGUGGAAUAUUAUGCAGUCAAUAGAAUAAUAUUUUGAAGCUAUGGGAAAAUGUUCAUGAUGCAAUGUCAGGAGAGGGAAAAGAAUGAUUCAAACUUCUGAAUUAAGAAUCAUGUCAGCUUUGUUUAAAACAAAUAUAUGACUAGAAUUUAAAACACCGUAAUAUAAGACUGGUUACAUUUGAGACACUUUUGCUUUCCUUAUUUAUUUUCUAUAAAUAAUAUAUUUUCUGGAAUUAGAAUGUAUUUUAUAAUUUUAUAAAACAGAAGAUUCUAUUUAGAAAUUACCACACAAAGCAGAAGAUAAGGUCCUAGGAGUGUCAGUCCUGGGUGAAGAGACGGAACUGCCUCCAGGAUUCAGAACAGACUUGGGAUAUACACACAAGAACAUUGUUUUCAGAGAGGAAGUCACUGAGUCUGAAGGAAACUUUUGGUUGCAAGUACCAGAAACCCAACUAAACACAAACUACGGAAACCAUCAUGAAGGUACAGAGCUAUUUCAUGGCAUUCAAGAAUUGAAACAUUUCAGAGACUCAGCGAGGAAUUAAUCAGCCAUGGAAUACAGUCCAUCAAAGUUUGAAGCAACCCCAGUAUCCUGGAGCGACAGUGUAUUGAUGUACUCAGAAAGAAUACUUCUCUAGCAAAUUGGAGGCAGAGAUGGCAAACAGUAACACCAAGCACCUAUCCCCAAAACUUCAGUGACAAUGUAGGCCUUUAGUAGGUUUGAGCAUUAUCUUGUCUUCCAUGAAUGCCUCCCUAUGAGAAGAUGCCCCAGCUCUAUAGUGGAAAUCUUAAGGUAUCUUAUGAAUGCCCUCGGUUAGCACAGCAUUAACUGUGAAGGACUUUUAUAAUCAGAAUUAUGAUUACAUCUUGGUCAGCUGUAAGGCUCCCCCAGAAACCUAUGUCUUAGCACCACGACCCCACUACAUAAACCAUAUGCAGGUUUGGUGCCACCACUAGGCACCGCUUAUUGCACCAGUUCCUAGAAACUAUGGAGUGAGGAUAAGGGAGAGACAAUUGUGAGAGAGUGUGUUUGAAAAAAAAUGCUACUAGCUCCUGUAAACCUAAACCUAUCCACCUUUUUCUGAUAGCACCUUGCCUCAUUUUAGAAGGUAUAGUGUUUUUAGAGCUGAAGGAAUGAGUGCAGAUUAUAGCCAUUUAUAUUCACUGCUGUCUUAGAAACAGCAACCGCAAAUGCCAGGAACUCCUUAAAAUAACCGAGAACAUGGAUCAAGACAUUCCAUAAGAAAUAACAGAUUAGACCUGAAAAAAAUUGAGUUAUGCCAUGUUGAUUUUUAAGUACCUUUAUUGAAAUAUAGUUGACAUACAAAUAAACUGUGAAUAGUUAAAGCAUAAAGCAUGGUAAAAUUUGACAUAUGAUUACAUCCAUGAAAUAGAUGUAGUGGUUGCUAUGGGUUGGGGGAGGGAUAGAGGGGAGUUGAAAUAAUCACUAUAAUCAGAAUCAUGAACAUAUCCCUAUGACCCAAAAGCUUCCUCAUGUCCCAUUUUUUCUAUUGUGAUAAAUCACCCAUAAUAAAAAUUUUACUAUAUUAAGCAUUUUUAAGUGCACAAUACAGUGUUAACUACAUGUACCUUGUAUACAACCUCUAGAACUUUUAUCUUGACAAAUUAAAAUUAAAAUUAAAAUUAAAAUUCUGUACCCAUUUAACAACUCCCCUUUAUCCCUCCCCCAAACCCUAGCAACCACUACUCUACUCUCUGUUUCUAAGUUUGACUACUUUAGAUACCUCAUAUAAGCAGAAUCAUGCAUUAUUCGUCUCUUUGUGACUGUUUAUUUCACUUAGCGUAAUGUCCUUGAUGUUCAUUGAUUUUGUAGCAUAUGAGAGGAUUUUCUUUUUAAAGGCUGAAUAAUAUUACAUUGCACAUAUAUAUUAUAUUCUCUUUGUCCAUUCAUCUAUCAAUGGACACUUAGAUUGCUUCAAUUUCUUGCCUAUUGUGAAUAAUGCUGUAGUGAACAUAGUUGUGCAAAUAUCUCUUCAAGAUCCUAUUUUCAGUCCUUUGGGAUAUAUACCCAGAAGUGGGGUUUCUGGAUUAUAUGUUAAUUCUAUUUUCAAUUUUUUGAAGAAUUGCCAUAUUGCUUCCCAUAGUGGCUGCAGCAUUUUACAUUCACACUAGCAGUGCACAAGAGUUCCAGUUUCUCCACAUCCUUCCUAACACUUUUUUUUUAAAAAAAAUAGUUGCCAUUCUAAUGGGUGUGAUUUGAAAUUUCCUGAUGAUUAGCAAUGCUGAACACCUUUUCAUACACCUGUUGAUCAUUUGUAUGUCUUCUUUGGAGAAAUGUCUAUUCAAUGCCUUUGCCUAUUUUUUAAUUGGGUUAUUUGGGUUUUGGCUAUUGAGUUGUAGGUGUUCCUUAUAAAUUCUGGAUGUUAAUCCUUUAUCAGAUUAAUGGUUUAAAUUAUUUUCUCCCAUUCUGUAGAUCGCCUUUUUACUCUGUUGUUUCCUUUGCUAUGCAGAAGUUUUUAAGUUAGAUGUAGUCCCAUUUGUCUAUUUUUGCUUUCGGUGUCAUAUCCAAUAAAUCAGUGCCAAAUCCAAUGUCAGAAAACUUUUCCCCUAUGUUUAGUUUUUGGGUUUUUAUAGUUUUGCGUAUUACACUUAGGACUUUAAUUCAAUUUUAAUUAAAUUUUUAAAUAUGGUGUGAGGUAAGACUCCAACUUUAUUUUUUUUGUGCAUGUGGAUAUUCAGUUUUCCUCAAUACCAUAUGAUGAAGAGACAAUUUUCUUCCGAUUGUGUGUUCUUGACACCCUUAUGAAAGAUCAGUUGACCAUGUAUUUGUCAAUUUAUUUCCGAGUUCUCUAUUGUUUUCCAUUGGACUAUAUGUUUGUCUUUAUACCAGUAUCACACUGUUUUGAUAACUAUAACUUUGUAAUAUGUUUUGAGAGCAGGAAGUAUAAGACCCACAGCUUUAUUUUUCUUUCUCAAGUUUGUUAUGGUUAUUAGGGAUCUUUUCAGAUUUCACAUGAAUUUUAAAUGUCUUUUCUUUCUAUUUCUACAAAAAAAAGCCACUUGGAUUUUAUUAAGGAUUGCAUUAAAUCUGCAGAUAGCUUUGUAUAACGUUGACAUUUCAAUAAUAUUAGGUCUUCCAAUCCAUGAUGGGAUGUCUUUCUAUUUCUUUGUAUUUUUACAGCAAUAUUUUGUUGUUUUCACUGUGUAAGUCUCUCACCUCCUUGGUUAAGUUUCUUCCUAAUUAUUUUAUUCUCUCUUAUGCUAUUGUGAAUAAGAUUAAAUUGUUUUCCUUUUCAUAUUUUUCAUUGUUAAUGUACAGAAAUAUGGUGAUUUUGUGUAGUUUUGUAUCCUGCAACUUUGCUAAAUUAAUCUACUAGUUCUAACAGUUUUUUGUGUGGAAUUGUUAGGAUUUUCUACAUAUAAAGUCAUGUCUUCUGUAGAGAUGAUUUAUUUCUUCCUUUCUAACUUGGAUAUUUUUAUUUUUUCUUUUCUUAUUUUUUCUUUUCUAACUUCUCUAGCUUAGACUUCCACUACUACCUUUAAUAGAAGUGGCAAGAGAUGUAUCAUUGCCUUGUUCCUGAUAUUAGAGGGAAAGCUUUCAGUUUGCCAUGAUGUUAGCUGUGAGCUUUUAAUACAUAGCCUUUAUUACGUUAAAGUAGUUUCCUUUUAUUCCUAGUUAAAUGAGAAUUUUUAUCAUGAAAGGCUGUGGAAUUUUUUCAAAUGCUUUUUCUGCAUCAAUUGAUAUGAUUAUGUUGCUUUUGUCCUUCAUUGUGUUAAUGUGGUAUAUUAUAUUAAUUGAUUUUUAUCUGUUUAACCAUCCUUGAAUUCCAGGAAUGGAUACCGUUUAGUUACAAUGUAUACUUUUUUAAUAUGUUGAAUUCAGUUUACUAGUAUUUUGCUGAGAAUGUUUGCAUCAAUAUUUAUCAGGAAUAUUAGUCUGUAGUUUUCUUUUUUUGUAAUAUAUUUACCUGACUUUGGUAUUAGAAGAAUGCUGGCCUCAUAAAAUGAGUUUGGAAGUCUUCUCUUGAAUUUUUGGGGGACAAUUUGAGAAGGGUUUGUAUUAUUUAUUUUUUAAAUGGUUUUUAAACUUCUUCAAAAAUGUCAUAUCAUUCUAGGCUUCUAUUUGUUCUAAGGUUUUUGACUGCUGAUUAAAUCUCCUCACUCAUUGUAGAUCUGGUCGUUUUUUGUUUUCUUUUUGUUUUGUUUUGUUUUUUUUUUGAGGUGGAGUCUUGUUCUGUCACCCAGGCUGGAGUGUAAUGGUGUGGUCUUGGCUCACUGCAAUCUCCACCUCCUGGAUUCAAGCUAUUCUCCUGACUCAGCCUCCCAGGUAGCUGGGACUACAGGCACAUGCCACUAUGCCUGGCUAGUUUUUGUAUUUUUUAGUAGAGAUGGGGUUUCACUAUAUUGGCCAGGCUGGUCUCAAACUCCUGACCUCAUGAUCUGCCCACCUUGGCCUCCAAAAGUGCUGGGAUUACAGGCGUGAGCCACCGUGCCCAUCCCAGAUUUUUAAAUUUAUUCAUGAUUCAGUCUUGGUAGAUAGUAUGCUUCUAGAAAUUUUUCCAUUUCUUCCAGCUUAUUCAACUUGUUGGUGUAUAAUUGUCCAUAGUAGUCUGUUUUGAUCCUUUUUAUUUCUGCAGCAUCAGUUAUACUGUCUCAUUUCUAA